rnacentral:rRNA from 1 species
GGUUUCCUACGGGAGGCAGCAGUGGGGAAUAUUGGACAAUGGGGGAAACCCUGAUCCAGCGACGCCGCGUGAGUGAAGAAGUAUUUCGGUACGUAAAGCUCUAUCAGCAGGAAAGAAAAUGACGGUACCUGACUAAGAAGCCCCGGCUAACUACGUGCCAGCAGCCGCGGUAAUACGUAGGGGGCAAGCGUUAUCCGGAAUUACUGGGUGUAAAGGGAGCGCAGGCGGGAAGCCAAGUCAGCUGUGAAAACUACGGGCCUAACUUGUAGACUGCAGUUGAAACUGGCUUUCUUGAGUGAAGUAGG